CAAAACACUCAGGGUCUUAUAUUUGUGGUGGAUAGCAAUGACAGAGAUCGAGUUGUCGAGGCCAGGGAUGAGUUGCACAGGAUGCUGAAUGAGGUAUCUUACUUUUUAGUAAAAUCUAUCUGUGUAUAACAUUCAUAGUCAUCAGACAAGAACUGAUGUUCAGGCCAGCCAAGAGGCCAGGAGCAUUAGUUAAUCUGUCAGUCACUCCAUUGAACUAUGGCAGUAUGAAGUAUUUAUCUUUUAGAAAGCAAAUAAUUGCCGAGACAGAAUUUUGAUUUGAAAAAUUGCACCUCAAAUACCAUUUGAGGUGCUUGUUGCUUUCUGAAAUAAUCUUUGAAUUAGUAAUUUCAAUUAACUUUUAAAUAUUAUUGUCAUUUUGGAAGGCAAUAUAGCUAGCUGGAAAGGCUUGUCUGGGAGAGGUUUGCUAUAACUGUUUGCUCUCUCAAAAUAGGUUACAGUAGCAAUUUUAUGGUUAGGGUCCAUCUUAAUUUUCUUGUUAGCAUGGUAGCACCUUAUGAAACAUGUUAUGUUGCAUGAUAUGCUGUUGAUGAAUAUUGGGGUAUAUUGGAUGAAGGAAUUAAAUUGAAGCAAGAGCAAAUGGCAUUUUUGCAGCAUCACUUAAGCAUGUUACUGGAUGGUAUUCUGUUGAGUCGUAUUGAUUUUUCUACAACGAAGUAAUGAAGGGGACAUGAAUUAUAACCAUUAGUAAUAAUAAUAAUGCUGGUUAAUUUAAUCUGGCCAAAAACAAGUGGCAGAUGCCUUAUGAUGUGCAUAUUGGGGUUUGUGCAUAGAUUGUAGUUUAGCUAAAAGAUGGCCAAGAGGAUUUGGCCAAUGAAAUCUUUGACCAGUCCAUGAUGUUGUGCUGGCUGCAUAAGCAGGUGCUAGACAGCAAUUUGUUUGUGUUAUUACUUGUUAAGAAGAGCAUGGAACUAGGAACGGCUUUUUGUGGCAUCAUUUACUUGCAAUACACUAUUUCUAAAGCUAUUUUUUUUUUUUGCAUGGCUGCCAUUUUUUUCAUGUCUUUGUUAGUGGGAGGAGGCAACAGAAACAUUUAUUUGACCAUUCCAGUUUUCAGUUACAUAUCGAAAACUUAAAAUAAAGUGGGAACCAAAAGAAUAAUGUUAAAUGAUUUCUGAUUUCAGGAUGAGCUCCGUGAGGCUGUGCUGCUUGUAUUUGCUAACAAACAAGAUCUCCCUAAUGCUAUGAAUGCUGCCGAGAUAACUGAUAAGCUUGGCCUCCACUCUCUCCGGCAGCGUCACUGGUAAAUUUUCUGGCUGUACUGCCAUCUAAUAGUUUAUUUUAUAGUCUCUAUCUUGUCUUAAAAGUCCUACUGCUAUCCGGUUUCUAAUUUUGCUUAUAUGGUCUUUCCAGGUACAUCCAGAGCACCUGUGCAACCUCUGGUGAAGGGCUUUACGAGGGAUUGGAUUGGCUCUCCAACAAUAUUGCUAACAAGGUAUGAAUUCAAAAAUUCUUUCCGUCCUAUAAACAAAGUUUUAGGGCCAGAAUAUGAGACUUCAAUUUGACCAUCUAAUUAUUGGACUCUUCCAUCAUUAAUUACUGUCCGCAACCUUUUGAUGCUCAAGUUCACUUAGAUUGAACCAACUAUCAGUGCUAUUUCCAAGAGAGAACUUUAUAAAGAUGAACCUUGAGGUGGUGACUUAUGUUUCUAUUAUUUUC
rnacentral:lncRNA from 1 species